rnacentral:sRNA from 1 species
GAUGCCAAGGCCAAAGACUUCCGGCAUGUUUCGUGCUCGCACGAAAACCUGCCGGAGUCUGGGGCCUGCCCCCUUAUGAGGAAGAAGCGAUUUCCAGAGGAAAUCUGCGGAUUCCGAAUAAGGGGAGAAUUGCGGGAGCAGCGUUAGCUGCGGAGCAAUUCGAAAGGC